UACGGGGGGGGCAAGCGUUGUUCGGAAUUACUGGGCGUAAAGGGCUCGUAGGCGGCCAACUAAGUCGGACGUGAAAUCCCCAGGCUCAACCUGGGAACUGCGUCCGAUACUGGAUGGCUUGAAUUCGGGAGAGGGAUGCAGAAUUCCAGGUGUAGCGGUGAAACGCGUAGAUAUCUGGAGGAAUACCGGUGGCGAAGGCGGCAUCCUGGACCGACAUUGACGCUGAGGAGCGAAAGCUAGGGGAGCAAACGGG
rnacentral:rRNA from 1 species